rnacentral:ncRNA from 1 species
AGAGCAUUGAGAAAACCUUUCCCUAGUCCGAGAGGACCAGGAAGGACGCACCUUUGGUGACGCUGGGUAGGCAAGUGUGGAGCGGAUAACUGCUGAAAGCAUCUAAGUAGUAAGCCAAUCCCAAGAUGAGUUCUCU